GUGGUCAUGAGACCGAAACCUUCGUGACGAGGCUAACAACAUUUUUUUCUGUUUCAGCUAUGAACUGGCUACAGCACUUGAGUUCGUCCGCACAGGCUGUGGUUUGGAAGCGGGUCCAACAAAGUCAAUAACCAGGUACGGUAGUAACCGGUUCCGGGUACGUUUGGAAUUUUGACAGGGUUUAGAACGGUUUGGCUAAGUUUUUGUCGGGUUUUGGCCGGUUCGGUCCGGGUAGAGGUGGAACCGGGCCAGGUCUAGUUGAGUUCCUUUUUCUACACUCGGGUCGGGUAAGGUAGGAACCGGUUCCGGGUCGGGUUCGGAACCAGGUUUUUUAUACAUCUCCAAGUUUAUGCAUCUAUUUUUAUAUGGAGUUUUUUUUUCAAAGAUUAUACUUGAAAACAAUAACAAGUAAUGCUUCAUUCUUAGCUGUAUAAAACCCAACACUAUGCAUAGUUGCUAACACAGUCUUCCAAAAUGCUACUAGAUCUAAUUUCUUAUGUGCAGGACAGGAGAAAAGGGUAUUAUGGGAAUUAUUUAGAAAUUAUCCUUCGCCUGUCGGAUCACACCUAACGCUUCUGCGUCACUUGCAUUGGCUGGAAUAUUCAACGCGCACCGUAUUUCUUCGCUUGACGUACGCAGAAAAGGAUUGCAUAAUUUCUCCCUCUUUAAAGUGGUUGGAAUCUGAUGCACAAAACCAAGAGUCAGCUUAAUUAUUA
rnacentral:lncRNA from 1 species